UUCUUUAUAUCCUCAUAGAUAUCUCAGCACUAUGGAAUGUAAGGAAGUGUGUGGUUUUGGCAAGUGCUUCUUCAAGGCCGAUGGCUCCGCCCAGAGAAUACGCUGUUGACUUCUUCGUUCCUUGGCUACAUUUUCUUACCUGCAGGUGCCCUCUUCCCCAGCAAUCCACCUCUACAGACUUCUCCCACAAUAAUGGGUUUCAGGCCAACUAUGCUCCCCAUCCUAGCCCCUUUAUACCAACAUCCCUCACAUCUACUCUCAGGGAAUCAGCUCCCGGGGUCCUAGUUCCUUCCUCUGCUCAUAUGGCUCCUGCAAUGGAUGUUUCUACCAAGCAAGCUCAGGGAUAGUUCAUGGUGCCGGGUGUGUGACUUGUGUUAUAAACAGAGAGUAUACAACUACUGGACUCUGAAGAACACCACCCUGGUAGAAGGCUCCACAUCUCCUGGCCCUGCUGCUGUUCUUUCUACUUCACAACCCCAUGUCAGUGUGUUGCUUCUGGGUCACACUGUCUGAAGAAAGAUGGGGGUCCUAAAAUAGUGCUGCAUUCAUUCAGUGGCCUAAGUUUCUUUGUUCUCAACCCAGUGCCCUGUGUUCCCAGUUCUGACUCUAGUGUCUAAGCUCAUGUCAUGAAGGAGGUAGACUCUAGAGGGAAACCAAGAAGAGGCGCUGUAGUGAUAUGCCAGAUGCAGGCUAAGACUCCAUUAAACAUGCAGCCUGAGUUCUUACCCAAAACAAAAUGAAGCGCCAUGGCAUUUGAAGACUGGCACCAUGCCCAGAAGCCCAGAAUGGCAGAAAAGGAAGAUAAAGGAUAUGUUUACUUCCUGGGCCCUCAAAAACAUCAGCAUACCGAACACACUGGGCAGUGUUCAUACUCCCAAGUGAGAUGCAGCCACACUGGGGACCACUACAUCCCUCUUUCAGGAUCCAGGUAGUUCCCUAGCUACCAUCAUGAGCAUGCCACCCUAUUCUUCUGGGCAUAGGUGAGAGUGUGGAACAGGGGUGGUGGAUGGGAGGAGAUUAAUAGAGAUGGGCCAGUUAUAGGACUGAGCAUAGGAUCGUACCACUGUGGGUCAGUUCCCAGGAAGUGGGUAAUUUGGAAAAAAUUGUUGUCACACUUAGGGUAUUCCUGGCGUCUAGGGUGUGGAGACCAGGGGUGCAACGAAGCAUGUAUAGUGUACAGACCAUCUCCAUAGCAAAGAAGUACCCAGGUCAAAAUGUCAAUGUGUGAAGAUCGAGAAAACCUGUAUUUAUUAGUAUGGUGUCUGACACUGGCAUUUUCCAGGAAAAAAAUCUCUGUCCUUUCUGUUUUAGACGUCAGUCUUUUUUAUAUAAAAUAUCUGAUGCUUCAAACUGAACUUCUUUCCAUUGACAGCCUAUCUUUUUUUCUAACUAGCCCAUGGAUUUUUUUUUCUACCCUGGUGUUUGGUUUCAUGUCGUUCUGAAAUCAGAGGUAUGUUAUAUAGAUGGCUGUGUUGCUGAGGCUGGAUCAAAAAAACAUGGGCAAACACAAGGAAAGAGUUGGGGGAGCUGUGUUCAGAAUUCUUUUUCAGAAAUAAUCUCAGACAGCCAGGCUAUCUCUGCCCCUGCAGUUGCCUGGCUUCUUGUUCCCUAACAUAAGCUGUGGACAAGAUAGACAUGGGAGGAGAUAGAGGGCAGGAGCCACAAGACACCUAUCAUUACAAAAAGGACAGUGGAGAAGGUAAGAUUGUGACUGCCAAGCCAAGAAGAUUCACACCAAGGAGGUGUAGCCCAGGACACAGGGGAACUUUAGUACUAUCCUAGAGUCACACUGUAUCUUGUAAUGCUAAUUUCUCUCAUCACAACAUUCAUACUUGAUAGGUGUGCCUUUAUCCAGUUGCCUUUUCUGCAGUGCCCUGUUGGAUGCUUUAAAGUAUGGGGUACCUUGACGAUUCGAGACAGGCCUCUCUAACUAGAGUCCAUCUGGAAGACGCCAGGCACCUGGCUACCUCACUUCUAAACGUGUCCAGUGGAUUUUAACACAUUCACAGAUAGGUAUAAAUUCUUGUUGAUGAGUGAUGGGGCACACUCUCUAGGCAAGAUGGAGUUAAAAGUGAAGUUUUGGCCUCAAAGGCAGGCAUAAUUGCCCCUCAGACUCUCCUACAAGCCUUGCUCGUGUCCUCUGUGUACCCUAGGAACUUAGUACACCCUUCAUUACUAUCAAAAUUCACAAGAGGCAAACUAGGCAUGUUUUCCACAGUAUAGACAAACAUGCUGAGCUGUCAAGAUGCUACUUAACACCUCAAUGCCAAACAUCAUUAUAUGAUAUUUCUCAGUAUCAAAUUCUCAAUAUCAAAUAAUAAAUAAAUAGAUAAAUAAUAAAUAAAUAAAUAAAUAAAUAAAUAAAUAAAUAAAUAAAUAAAUAAAAUCAAGAAUGCAUCAGUGGAUUUUGAACCCAGAAAAUUUCAGGAUGGUUUUGUUUGUUUUGUUUUGUUUUGUUUUGUUUUUAGAGACAGACUUUCUCUGUGUAGUGUUGGCUGUCCUGGAACUCACUCUGUAGAACAGGCUGGCCACAAACUCAAAGAUCCAUCUGCUUCUGCUUCCCAAGUGCUGGAAUUUUAGGUAUGUGCCACCACUGCCUGGCCAUACUUUCUUCUCAAUGACUUCUAUUUAUCAAGAAGAAGAAAACAUGUUAGCCAGUAACUAGCCCCAAAGGAGAAAGUUGGUUUUCUGCAAGCACUCAACUAUCUUUUCAGCCUACAUCUUUCCUCUCCUUAUACCAACACCUUAUGGAGAUAGCAAGCCAUAUUUUCGGGGAGCCUUUCCUUCUUACCUACAUUUGAUCUCACUUUACUACUAACAAGCCGAAAGCAGAGGAUACCCCUUCUAUUCAAUGGUUCUCAAACUUUAGAUACCUCAGAAUCACUGGGAAGGCAGGGUACAUGAGUUUGGGGACCCCACUCCUGGGUAUGUCAGGAUGGUAAAUGUUACUUUUCGCUUAAAAGGUCAACUUGUAAGUUCUUACAUACUGGAAUCCAGACUUCUUCAUGAUCUACAAGAACCAAAAAUGCCUCUGUUUCCCUCGAUAGACUCUACUAAAGUCAGUUCCACCCAUUCUUUCAAACCAAAGGACUGUAAUAGCUAUUACUGGGAGAAGGAAUGAAGAUAAUAUAUUUAAAUAAUAAAAAAACUGUCAAACAAUGUAAAUUAAUGAAUUGUAGUUACCAUAUUCAUAUGAAUGAGCCUUACAGAUAUCAUGUAAGGUAAAAUUAACAUGCCACAGAUAAAUAUUUAUAAUAUUAAAAUAUAUUGAUUCAGAACAUGCAUAAAUGAGAAAAGCUAUAAUACAUUCAUAGAGGGUUAUAUAAUGUACAUUUACAUAUGCAUACAAAUAUACUUGACAAUGUUAAGGUUAUUUUAGAAUAUAAAAGAAAAGAGUGUCUAUUUUUUUCCAUAUUCUAUAACUGUAUUCCACUUUCAUGCCUAAUGUUCCAAUUUGAAAAAAAAAAUAAUAAGAGCUAAAUAAAAUAAAUAAAUAAAAACUAGAAAGCAUACGACUUUGUGAGAUUUCUUUCAAGCUCUGUGAGAGGUUAGUCAGGGUAAUGUUCUCUUUGGGGUUGAUUCAUGCUAAUGUGGUUCUCUCUGUUACAGGCUUGGACAAGUGGUGCUCAAACUCCAAGGACUUCACAAGCUUCAGGUUGCAGUCACCUCCAAAGGGAGUGGCCCCCUGCUCUGGCUGGUCAAACGGAACCAAGUCCGUCUUCCUGAGAGGUUUGGUCCCCUUCAACCAGCUACAGCAGGGCUGGCAAAGCUCAAUAUUUGGAGAAAGAGAAGAGAAGAGAAAAUAGCUGCUACAGCCUUGCUUAUGAAAAGUAAUGCUGGUUUUGCCAUCAUAGCCUUAUGUUCCCAAGAAGGAAGAAGAAAGGAGAAAGCCCAAGUUCACAGGUCACAUGCUCAAUACACAGACUCCUCUGCCACACACACACCUUCUAAAUCACCCACAUUUAGAGCCGUGCACACAUCUUCCAUGCACACCCACUAAUGAUGCUAAGGAUGGAACUUGAGCCAAUCUUAGACCAGUCAGUGGCAGAAUAUGAUACAGAGGAGACAGGUCUUCUGCUCACAAGGACACAGAAGCCUAAGUAAGGCCACUGACCAUGGAAACACAACACAGUACAAUGGAAAUGCAGGCCCGAACAUGCUUAAUCCAAGAUAUAAUUCAUAUAUGUAUAUGUGUGUAUAUGGAUGCUUGCAUAUAUAUGUAUAUACAUAUAUAUGUAUAUAUGAAUAUGGAUGUAUAUGAGUAUAUAUAGUUCACUGAAUUUGCCCGUGACAUUCUACGUCAUUUUCCAUGAAGCCGAGAACUUUAUGUACACUGAGACUAAAGUACACAGAAAGAGGUUACCUAGCUCCCAGUGGCUGAUACCAGUAAUUAAGGUAAAACCCUGGCUUCCUGUUUGAAUCCUACCCAUCUUGUCGAUUAGCUAUGAUGUGCGCUCAGUCAAAUAGCCUCAGUUACCUCCGUAAAAACAUUAGUUGCUUCUUCACCAGUAAAUGGAAAGAGUGACCUGGAUCACACCAUUGUUCUAAGAUUUUGAGAGGACAAUGUCUGUAAAUAACCAGCCAUAAUCACUCAGAGAAUGUGUGUCUUGCUGUUAUGACAAUGAUGGUGUCAUGCCCAGAGGCAUGGCUCCCAGAGAAGGAAAAACAAAUUUUAAAAGAUAAUAUUUCCAAAAUAAAUUUUACAUUAAUUUUGGUAUACUUAUAUUCCCACUAUUGAUUCUACUAGCAUGCAGCAUACAUUCAUCCUAGUGUGUACUGUUCGUAUGUAAUGCUUUUUGCUAAAAAUUGCGUCACGUGUGAGAUUCUACUGCCUGGGAAGAGGUUUCUGACAGCUGUUGAGCUUGCUCUAUAGCACAGAGCCUCCUGGGUGUGUGAGGCUAUGAAGCAUGUUUUCUAAAGGCAGAGAAUGAACACGGCUGCAGCUGGCUGCCUGCCCCUCCACUCUGAACCUGUUUCCUCAUGGAAAGAAUGGAAACAUCGAUAAUUAUCUAUAAUAAAAAGAAUUUGUGGGAGUGAAAAAAUAUACAAGGGUCUAAAACUAGGACUGGGUGCACAAUGUGGUUUUUCUCUUUGACAAUGCUUUUAAAACAAAAUUGGUAUUCAUUAAACUUUUCUCUAAUAA
rnacentral:lncRNA from 1 species